UCAUGCUUGCUUAGCAAGUUGUUAAGAUAUAUUAGGCAAAGACUAGGGACUAUAGAGUUAAUGGUAAUGAGAUCCCAAUACUGUCAGCUUGAAGAUGACCUUGAACUGUAAGAGCCCAAGAUUGGCCUCUUCAGGUACAUGGAAAAGGGGGAAUGAAGAGUUUAAGUUAGCCUGGGUAUAAUUCCAUUUUGAAAUAAAAAGUCAUCUUGACUGGAGCUGACUUCAGGUAACAAGAAAUAUCACAGAAUGUACACUUGGCAGAAAACAAAGUUAACUCUCCUAACAACAGCCUCCAGGAAAUAAUACAGAAUAAAUGCUUCAUAGGAAAUAGAGACAAUCACUUCCUGCCUCAGCUGGCUCUCCAGUGAGUCUAUGUGGUUUGAAUAGUGGCCUCUACCUAGGGAAAAACUUGAAGCAUUCACACAAUUAGAAGAACAACUGCAGCUUCAUCCUAUGCACCCUUCCCAUAUCCAUGGAAAACCCCCGUGUUUGCUAUAAAAAAAGAGUGUAGGGGGAUGAAGACUGUUACGAGAUUUAAGGGACAUUAAAUCUUGAUCAUGAGAGUCUGGGAGACCCCUCAAGGAUGCUACCCCUCAUUCUGCCAUUUCUGCCAACAUCCCUCUCUUAGCAAUAGAUAUUAAAGACUGCGUUUUCUCUAUCCUUCUCCACCCACAGGAUUGACAACACUUUAAAAAUUUUAAAUCUCAGUGAGACAAUGCUUCUGAAAAGCAUCCGAUUUUAUUAAAAAUUGCUAAAUUAGAUCAGCAUAUAGAAGUCCUAACUUCAGAAUGGAAGAAAGAAAAUAUGUUAUAUUGGGCAAGAGGCUUUGUAUUUGUAUCAACAUGAGAAGAAAAACUAUGGAUUCCACCCAAAUUGAUAAAAAUUACAUAUGACUGGGGGAGCCCUCCUGAAGAUCUUGGCUGCAGACAGGAAGAAGGAAAUCAAGAAGACCAAGAAAACAGCAAGAGGAACUAAGACAGGCAACCACAACGGAUCCUGACUGAACCUCUAUGAUCAGAAGCAUCAUUCAGAGAACAAAUCCCCAAUAUAUGCAGGAGAAUGUUGUUUUAUCCCAGAGACAUGUUACAGACAUCUGAGAUGCAGCUACUUUGGGGGUUGGUGAGUGGCUACUGUGCUAAGAGCUGAAAUUGACCAAAUUAACUACAAUUUACUACCCUAGCCUUCCGCUAGGAUGUUGCAAGCCCUUAGUAGUUGCCAGAAUUCCAAAACUGUUGCAUCAGACAGUUCUGUCAGUCUAGUUGUUAUCUAAGUAGUGAGACUGAUUCCUGGUGCUUCUUAUUUUCCUGUUCCUCUAACAUAUUUUAGAAAUUAACCCAAUUUCUUUUAACAACCAUUAAUUUGGUUACUUGUAAUUUUUCAAUACUUUAUACAUUAAUAUAUAUAUCCACAUAAGAGAUUGCUGUAUAUCUGUGCAUAACUUUCUAUAGGACAAAUUCCUAGAAGCAGACUGGCUUAGCCAUUAGUAGAGUUUGAUAAACUGACCUAAAUAUCAGUCAUUUACAUUUCUGUCAACAAUGCAUGAAAGUACUUAGUUUGAAAUGUUUUAAAAUCCUUUGUUCCCCUAAUUCUUAAUAAACUUUGCCUCUGAGCUUUGUUAUA